rnacentral:tRNA from 1 species
CAGGUUAGAGCCCUGGCAAGAAUU